CUUGACUGUAGCAAUAACUGUAAUAUCAUAGCGUUUAAAUGACCCAAACUAUAGUCGAUUCAUGGAUUAAUUUCACCGUCUGAAGAGCUAUAAAGCGUCUUAACAAAAUGAAUAAACAACUCGAGAGUCGACGUUCAACCCCUACCCCACUUCCUCUGGCCUCGCUUCGAUUAUUGGCUUCUCCUUUGCAGCUGACAUAUUCAUACAUAUGGCAGGUCAUACUGCAGAGAAAUGUGGCACAAUACAGUAAGGUGGAGGAGUUUGUGACUGUGGUGACCCAAACUAUUCCAGAGCUCAUGAAUUUUAAGCAGACAGCCCAACUGAUCUUGGGAUUGAGGGCAAGGAUUAUUCUUGAGUUGCUACAGCAAGAAGGUACACCGGAUUCCCAUGCUGUUCAAGCUCUCGUAAAUAAGCUGAAAAUCUCAACAUCCAAUGGG